UCANUCNCNUCAGGCCUCACAUGCAAGUNGAGCGNGAAAGCCCUUCGGGGUGAGUNGACGGCGGACGGGUGAGUAUCGCGUGGGAAUUUGCCCAGUAGUGGGGGACAACAGCUGGAAACGGGGGNUAAUACCGCAUACGCCNUACGGGGGAAAGCAGGGGAUCUUAGGACCUUGCGCUAUUGGAUGAGCCCGGGUCAGAUUAGNUAGUUGGUGGGGUAAUGGCAUACCAUGGCGAGGAUCUGUAGCUGGUCUGAGAGGAUGAUCAGCCACACUGGAANUGAGACACGGUCCAGACUCUUACGGGAGGCAGCAGUGGGGAAUAUUGCACAAUGCGGGAAACCCUAAUGCAGCCAUGCCGCGUGUGCAAGAAGGCUUUCGGGUUGUAAAGCACUUUAAGCCGUGNGGAAGGCCAUAUAGNUUAAUACCCAGAUGACGUANCNGCAG
rnacentral:rRNA from 1 species